CUAUUCUGAUAUUUCUAUGGUGCAGCGCGAAAAUCAGUUCUAAAAUGUUUUCUCGCAAACUUUAUAUUCGGGUGAGACGAGUAUUUGAAAUACUCGAGAAAUUCUCAAAAACUCAUGAGCGUAUUGUUUUUUGAUUGAAUUGAUCAUUUUAUGAUACUAUUAUUUAUAAUAAUGUGGUCAAUUUUUUUAUAUUAAAGUACCCAAUCUGAUCUGAAAUACGCUCAGAGUUGCGUGUUUGUACGAACGCACAGUACGAAAGAGAUACCCAUUGGAUUUGAUAAAUUUUAUAGUACAUAAUCUUUAUAAUUUUUUAAUAUAUUUUGUAUAUGCUUAUACAGCAAGCCGUGUACUCUGUCGGACGCAAAAAGGAUCGUAGCGUCGAAAGUCAGUCGCGAGAAAACAAGUUGUAAAACUGAGGAGAACUGGGAGCUUGAAACUAUUGAACUUCAAAUUAUUAUGAAAAUAUCAUAAUGGAGAACAGCGUAACAAACGAAGAAUAUGAAAUUCAAGGAACUAGUACAAUAACUAAGAAAGAAGAAACUUCUGUAGCAUCCCAGGGAAUACAAAUCUGUUCUGAUGGAAAAGUAUCAAUAGAUUCCAAGAAUACUCAAGUCCGUGUUGUAAGGGGUACUAAGAAAGUAAAACUAGAUGUUACUGACAAUAAUAAUUAUGAAAAGAAAGAUUCUAAAGAUGAAGAAACUAAUACAGAAACAAAAGUAAAAUCUCUCAAAAGAUCUUGCGAGUUAUGGUCUAUGGAAGAUAAGAAUACCUUUUUCAAGGCCUUGAAUGAGUAUGGAAAAGAUUUUGAUGCUUUACAAAGCUAUUUCUUAUGUCAAGGGAAAAAGAAAGGCCUUCCAGAUGUUAUGAUAAAGAACAAGGAACAAAUACGGCAUUUUUAUUAUAGAACAUGGCUAAAGAUUUCUAAACAUUUAAAAUUUUCAGAAGAUGUAAAGAAGACUUCUCAAGAGUUAUAUGGUUUGAUAAAUUAUGGUGAACUCAGAAGAAAGUUACCUAGAAUACAUGAAAAAAUACAUUUAAAAUUAAAUGAAUUAGUAUAUUGGGGAUCAACACAAGUUAGACUAAGAGGAAAAACUAUGCGAAUUAAGACACCUAUCUGUAGAGCACUGAGAAAAUUAAAUCAGUUGGAAGAUUGGCAAGAAGAAAUUAAGUUACCUUCUAGAAUAACAGUUGAGUUAAGACCUCGAAACAAUAUGGCAUGGUGGCAAGUACAAGCAUCAUCAAUGAAUCCAAGAGUACGGACUUUAUUACCUAUACAAAGACGUUUGUCAAGUUUGUUAAUAUUUUUACAACAAAGAUGGAGGCCUGCAAAGUACAACAUACCUUCUAACAUAGAAAAUGCAGCUCUUAACGAGUUGAAAGACACCCGACUUUUACGGGUAGCACCACCUGAUGGAUGUAAAAUCACUUUGCCAAUAGUCAAUCUUGGAGAAUAUCUUACCAGCAAUAGUGUUAGUUUGAAUUCUUAUGAAAAACGUCUAGGUUUGAAAAGUUCCAGAAUGAACUUGUUAGGAUCAGUGCAGUAUAUUAAAGGAGUUGGGAAGAAAGGCAUUAAAAAGAAUAAAGUAGACAAAAAGUGCUUGAAUCGAACAGAAGAUAACUGCACAUUGCCAGAUAAUAAUAGUGAUGUGGAUGGAAUAGAAUCUGGCAGUAAUGUUUCAGAAAAAACUUCAACUAUUAAUAACGAAGAAAAAUCAAAUCCAGAACAUCAGAUAGAACCCAACAGGUUUCCAGGAAGGGAGACAAUUGAUAGAAUUCGAAAAGGAUGGAAUGUUGAUGAAGCAAAUACUAUCACUAUAGGAGAUCUAUUUUUAAUGUUUGGUCGCGAGUCCAAAAUUACAUUGGAAUAUUGGUGGGAUUGGCACGUCAAAGAACAACAGACUGGAGAAUCUACAUCAAGUAGCUUACAUGAUAACAAUCUGUGCCUAACUUUGCAGAAGUUAUUGUCCAUAGCAAAGCACAGUUACGGUACAAGCAAAGUGUAUGAUAAUACUUCUGGAAGCAAUGAAACUGUGGUUUCAUCUCGUGUACUUUCAACAAGAGAGUCUACCUUUAGAAGACCUCUUGUUCCACAAACUUACCACAAAAUUGGCACAUCAGAUGCCUUUAAAACGCAAUUGGAUAAAUUCAAAACGCGCUUUUGUAAACGAGGGAGGACAGUAAGACAAAAAAGUCUUGUUGUCCAAAGGGUAUUACCAAUAAUAUCUACAUCAGGUAGUUCACCAGAAAACUUAACUCCUUCUUUCGAAGAGACAAAUAAAAUAAAUGAUCCUUCCAUCAGUAACAACGAGCAACAAAAUGAUAAAUCAUUAACUAUGAAUGUAAGUGAACCACAAGAGAAACAUUUCUUGGAUGAACUUGAAGUGGUAAGAGACCCAAAACCUACGAAUUCCAUCAUAACAAGUGCUACACAGAUACUUAAAGAAGGAGAACAUCAAUGGUUGAAUAGUGAGGUAGCAGAUUUUUCAUUAAGUAGUUUCUUGGGUCAACUUGAAUCCCCUAUGAAAAUUUCACAGAGAAGUCAACAUGGAGACAGUAUUGUAGAAGAUAGUCGACCAUCAUCUGAUGUUGUAUCACAUAUGCAAUGCCUCAUGGGAGAAAGCAGCGUAGAUUAUAUGGCAAAAUUUGCAAAUCUCGCAUCACAAAUGGCAUCAGAUGAUAGCAAAAGAUAAUAAUAUAGUAAUUAAUUAAGUUUUGUAUAAAUUUUGACAAGACAUUUAUCUUCUAUCAUGUAGAUUGGAUGUCAUUCUAUAGUUGGGUAUAUAUCAAUAUUUGGACUGAUUUAUUUAAUCUUUUUAGUAUUUAAUUUAUCGAUCUUACGUUACCAUAACAAUGCAACUGUUAAUAAAUAAAGAAAACAAACUUGUAGAAAUAAAUGAGCCGUUUAUUUUAAAAGUGACACGAGUCACUUUUAUGUUAUUUUCAGAUAUUGAAUGUUUUGUAUUUCAAUGUGUCUAAAAAUAUAUUCACAUGUUUACCAUGGAGGAAUUUCACCAGUAUUUGAUAACUUGGUUACUUAUAUUCUUUUUAGAGUAAAUAAUGUAAUAAAUUGUUAUUCUGUAUUAUUGUAAAGUGACUCAAGUCACUUUUAAAAUCAAUAGUUUGUAAACAUUGCAAACUGAACAAUUCAUGCGCAAAAAAAUAUUUCGAGCUCGUCCGAUCGUGUCCGACUUCUGACUCAACACGAGCCUGCGGCACAAUCCCAAAUCAUAUCUUAGGGACCCGAAAGUUUCUGAGUUGUGCGCAUUUGUAUAUAAUAUAGUCUUGCUAUAUAAGGCUACUGAGCGAAUUACCCUUUAUAUUAAAUUUUAAAUUUAAAAAAUUUGUCUGUAGGAUUUUGUCAAUCAAAUACCAUGAAGUAGUGUAUACGACUGUUACUGUAAUUUAUUACAUUUCUAUAGCUUCGUCCAGGGCAAUAUAGCAAGUCUCUAUAGUAUACGUUUGACAAGAUACUUUCGGGUUCAUAUCCAAUCCUGUAAUCUCGAGUACCUGCACAUUCCUAAUGUAUACUUAUAAAUAUUUCAUUGUACAUUUAUGUUUCUAGAGAUCUAUAGCAAGUAUGGUGCAAGUACGAGAAGAAUACAUUUAAAGGUGAUCUUCCUUGUCCUUGUUUAAUCCGCGACGCGGCAUCUACAUGUAUGUAUGGAAUUAUUUAGACAAGUUCCCGUCUAUAACACUUGGUAUUGCGUUGCAGUCCCAUCUAACUAAUCACAUAUGUAUGUUGAAAGAAAAAACAGUAAAUCCUCGUUUAUAACUUCCUUUCACAGAAAAAUUCUAUUAUAGAAUUCGCUUCUGGUUUUUCGGCAUGCAUUAACUCUAAUCAAAACAGAUAAACGCAAGUACUUACAUGUUAUUAAAUUUUAUUGUUUACUUUUAAUUAACUACGAUCUUCUAUCGAUAUUACAGUUCCCUUUAAACACUUGACAAAAUGAGUUUCAUGAAUGAUUACAACUUUACGACCGAAGUUAUGCUCGAAGACUAAGCAUAUGAUAUAACAAUGCAAAAAUGGAUAUUGUUAUCCGACGAAGAUCCAGGAAAUAGUAGCGAUUAUAACAGUUUAGAAUGCUGCAACUAUCCAAUGUUGGAAAAUGAGAAAAAAGUUAAGAUUGGAAUCGGGAAUUACCUUCAGAGUGUAAAGAUGGUAGUUCUCGUCUAAAAUUAAACAUAUUUGAAAAAAAUUGUAAAUACGUGGGUGGAAUAUAAUUGAAACGAUAAUGAGCGGAACAUCCCGAGGAUACUUGUAUUCUUGGAAACGAAGCCUACGGUCUCUUCAACGAUGUGAUUUCCCCUGGACGUAAGCGCAUUUGUGCAAUGAACUGGUUUUACUUGUUUUAUUCAUCACAAAAAUGAAAUCAUUAAUCAGAUCUACUUUCUUUCAAAGAAGCUAUGACGUGUUUGAUUUUUAAGAGAACAUACGGAGAAGCAUGUGACAUAAUUUUUAAACUGCACUCUGUCAAAAAUGUGUUAGAACUACGCUACGUACACUUACAAGAUAUACGCAACAAAUAUCAAACCUAUUUUUCUACUUUAUUAACAAAAUAUACAACGUUUCAUGGAAGAGCCUGUUUGUAUAUUAUCAUAUCCAAAAAUGUUCUAUUUCUACAACUCUGUCUCUGACAGUGUGACGAGACUACUGUUUCCAUGAAUAUCAUUGAUACAGAAAGCUAAUAAAGUUACGAGACAAAUAUUAAA
rnacentral:misc_RNA from 1 species